UUUUUUGUACCUUCUCCCACCCCCUUCUCUGCUAGGAUCCCCGCGACCUGCGUUUUCCUGGGGGUCCGGAACUCUGGACCCCAGGCGCCCGCCACCCCCUCAGGACAACUCGUCUCUCACCAGAGCCCCUUGCCCAUGCCCACCGGGAGCGGAGGGCCCCCGCCCCGCCCCCGCCCCCGGGAGGAUUUCUGAAUGGGGGGAAAACGCCGGCCCGGAACCGGGGCUCCCGCACCCCCGGGGCGGAGCUGGGCGCCGCCGCCCGGCCACCGCGGCCGCCGAGCUUGAAGAAGUGGAGGAGAGAUCUACACAACUUGAGUGGGGCAGCCCAUCCCAUCUUCCUGCUCACCCACCUUUGCCCCCAUCCCAUCUCUGGGGCACCCUGACCCCCCAAAAAGAAGUCACCCCCCGGGUUCUGCCUGCACAGAGCCAGGGUGAGAGCGGGCAAGGCAAGGGAGCGACCUCAGUUGUGGGCAAGUAGCUUGUUUUUACGUCCUUCAAUAAAAUUUUUAUGAGGAUCA